AACGAACGCUGGCGGCAUGCCUAACACAUGCAAGUCGAACGAGACCUUCGGGUCUAGUGGCGCACGGGUGCGUAACGCGUGGGAACCUGCCCUUAGGUUCGGAAUAACUCCCCGAAAGGGGUGCUAAUACCGGAUAAUGUCUUCGGACCAAAGAUUUAUCGCCUUUGGAUGGGCCCGCGUUGGAUUAGCUAGUUGGUAGGGUAAAAGCCUACCAAGGCGACGAUCCAUAGCUGGUCUGAGAGGAUGAUCAGCCACACUGGGACUGAGACACGGCCCAGACUCCUACGGGAGGCAGCAGUGGGGAAUAUUGGACAAUGGGCGAAAGCCUGAUCCAGCAAUGCCGCGUGAGUGAUGAAGGCCUUAGGGUUGUAAAGCUCUUUUACAUGGGAUGAUAAUGACAGUACCGGGAGAAUAAGCUCCGGCUAACUCCGUG
rnacentral:rRNA from 1 species